AUGAACGCUGGCGGCGUGCCUAAUACAUGCAAGUCGAACGAAACUUCUUUAUCACCGAGUGCUUGCACUCACCGAUAAAGAGUUGAGUGGCGAACGGGUGAGUAACACGUGGGCAACCUGCCCAAAAGAGGGGGAUAACACUUGGAAACAGGUGCUAAUACCGCAUAACCAUAGUUACCGCAUGGUAACUAUGUAAAAGGUGGCUAUACUACCGCUUUUGGAUGGGCCCGCGGCGCAUUAGCUAGUUGGUAGGGUAAAGGCUUACCAAGGCAAUGAUGCGUAGCCGAAUUGAGAGGUUGAUCGGCCACAUUGGGACUGAGACACGGCCCAAACUCCUACGGGAGGCAGCAGUAGGGAAUCUUCCACAAUGGGCGAAAGCCUGAUGGAGCAACGCCGCGUGGGUGAAGAAGGUCUUCGGAUCGUAAAACCCUGUUGUUAGAGAAGAAAGUGCGUGAGAGUAACUGUUCACGUUUCGACGGUAUCUAACCAGAAAGCCACUGCUAACUACGU
rnacentral:rRNA from 1 species